GAGAGUACAUGUACCAGCAAAAAAGGCACCUGCAGGACAUCGCAGUGUUCUGCUGACGAGCUGGAGAUCCCACAAGGCUGUACAGGCGAUGGGUGUAGGUGCUGCGCCCCUAAAGGUCCAGUUUGCAAACAACAAAGUACAUGUAUUGCCAAGAAAGGCACCUGCACAACAUCACAGUGUUCAGAAGUUGAGCUGGAGAUCACACAAGGCUGUACAGGUGACGGGUGCAGGUGCUGCGCCCCUAAAAGUAUAGGCUGUCGACCUGAAAGUGCAUGUACCACUAAGAAAGGAACCUGCAAAUUAUCACAGUGUUCAGCUGAUGAGCUGGAGAUCCCACAAGGCUGUACAGGUGACGGGUGUAGGUGCUGCGCCCCUAAA